rnacentral:rRNA from 1 species
AGUGAACGCUGGCGGUAGGCCUAACACAUGCAAGUCGAACGGCAGCACAGUAAGAGCUUGCUCUUACGGGUGGCGAGUGGCGGACGGGUGAGGAAUAGAUCGGAAUCUACUUUUUCGUGGGGGAUAACGUAGGGAAACUUACGCUAAUACCGCAUACGACCUACGGGUGAAAGCAGGGGAUCUUCGGACCUUGCGCGAUUGAAUGAGCCGACGUCGGAUUAGCUAGUUGGCAGGGUAAAGGCCCACCAAGGCAACGAUCCGUAGCUGGUCUGAGAGGAUGAUCAGCCACACUGGAACUGAGACACGGUCCAGACUCCUACGGGAGGCAGCAGUGGGGAAUAUUGGGCAAAGGGCGCAAGCCUGAUCCAGCCAUACCGCGUGGGUGAAGAAGGCCUUCGGGUUGUAAAGCCCUUUUGUUGGGAAAGAAAAGCAGCAGGUUAAUACCCCGCUGUUCUGACGGUACCCAAAGAAUAAGCACCGGCUAACUUCGUG